UGAGUUGGUUAUAAGCGUAUUGGGUGAGAGUUGUUUUCUGAUGUGAUUGUAUUUUAGAUGAUUUGUGCACAAAUUGUGUCGAAAGAGAAGCAUAGCAAAAGAAACCUAAAAAAUGGUGCUUUCUGAAAACAAAACCCUCUCGGAAUGAGAGAAUUUUUUUACUUUUUUGAAAACCAACUAUUUUAGGAAAUCCAUAAAAAAAAACAUAAACAAUCCUAGUAUCUCAUCUAACAGAAAACAAUCUACUGAAAAGGUAAUCCACCCUUGUUUUCUUGUUGAAUUAGCAGCCCUACAUAUGGAACUGAAACUCGCUUGCCUCCUCCAUUCUCGAAUUGUUUUGUUUUGUUUUGCUUUCCGAGGGCUCGAUUAGAGGCGUCUCCGCCUCCGCUCUGUCGCCAUUCCUAUUCCAUUUGGUAAUCUCGUCUUCCUAUAAACCUUCUCUUUCAAUACUGUUUUCAACCCACAAAUGAGAAGAAUUCGUUUUGCAUGUCUCUCGCUCUUAAAUCUCCAAACUCCUUUCUUUGCCAAAAUAGCCCAAUUCCCACGACUUUAUUUAGGGUUGCUCGCCUGCCCAUCAAUCCCCUUUUUGUGGUUGCCGCAUUUUGCUCGAAUACAAAAGCAUCUGAUUCCGGUUUUGUCACGACCCGGUACUCUCCUCGAGUCCGUGACAACCGCCGCGGUACCCCGAUAGACACUCAUUUCCCGGAAUGCCAACCGGGACCCGGCAAGGCUUAAUAUCAGUAUCUCAUUUCCCCUGUGAGUAACCGUUGCCGAAAAUCAUGUUCUAGAAGAUUUUAAGCUGUUUCCAACUCAAAACAAAUAAAAUAAUAAUUUUCGUCUCAUAGGGGUAUUUUAGUCAUUUUUCUUCAAAAAUUUCGAAAUCGGCUAAAAUGUAAUAUACGAGUACAAAACAUAUAAUUCAUAAUCAAAAGUGAGUUUUAAAGUCUAAAAUCUUCAUUUAAAAUGAAAUUUCGAUUAUUUGGAUAUAAUAAGAAAAUAAAAGAAAUGUUAAGUAAAAUAUUCUAUUUUCUUAUAAAAUAAUAUUUUUAGAGUUAUACGUAAAUAAUUUUUGUAGCGUAAAAGUUAAAUAAAUUCAUACAUACUGUAAUACAGUAAGCCAAAGUAUUUAAUUUAAUUUACAAUAAUAAGUGGGCCCCUGAAUAAAUAAAAGUAAAGAGGACUAUAAACCUACAGUUUGAAGAAUGCAAACCCAACGGUAAUCCUCGAUGAGAUCAGCUAUCUACAGUCUAAUCUGAGCCUAAAAUGGAGGGAAAGGAGGGUGGUGAGAUUAUAAAAUCCCAAUGAGUAAACAGACAUCAUCAUAAACAUCUAGAGUUGAGUACAUGAAGACAAUAAAGUAAAUCAUCGUAAAGUGGGUCACAGUAUUAGAAUACAUUUCAUUCAAAAUACGUGAAGAGGCUUAUGAAUCUCAUAAAAACUAAGCUUGUGUCAUAAAUCCAUUCUCAGGGAUACCUUGGCCGAGGCAUCCUACCGAGACUGCCAAGGCUGUUAAAAAUUCACAUUUUGCAUAAAUCAUAUUUUUGUUUUGAAACAUAGCCGUUCUUUGGCGUUGGCUGAGUUCCCCCCUCACGUGGUGAUUUGGAGUGAAGUGAACCCUAAGCUUUACCCUAGGAGAUACCCUACGCGCCUCUCCGUUUGAGGUAAGAAUAUAAUGGGGUUUACUGUGCCCCUCUAAAAAGCUGAUCCACAGAAACUCCUUACUGUAGUGAUUAAUUAAUAUAUAAUCCACCAUAUAAUAAAAUUUUGACAGCAUGACAGGGCUAAUGAAAUACUAUCUAGCCUGCACGGGUAAAAUAAAACAAUUCAUACAAUUCAUAAAACACAGCCUAGCUAGUCAUGCCAACACAAUAACAAUAUAACAUAAGCCAUCAAUUUAAACAAUCAAAUUGCCACAAUUAACAGUCUCCGUGUACUCUAUUUUUUAAAAUCAUUAUUAAUUUCAAAACAAUUUAUAAACUAAUUUCAUUGGAACACCUUUAUUCAUAAAACAUAAAAAUUUACCUUUUUAAAUCUAUUUUUCCAUAGAAUUCAUGAAAUCAUCUAAAAACCACCCUAGAUAAUUAAAAUGACAGUAAGUUUACUCACAAUGUCUAGAAUGCAGACUUUCGAAGUACUUUGUCUAUUGGUCCUCGGAUGCAAUUUCCUUGCCUUUAUCGAAUGACUCACCACCUUGACACAGUACAAAAUCGAGAAAUUCACCACAUUGAUACUAAAUCGAAAUUAAACUAAUUUAGACUACUAAUGCAUGAUAUGGAAUGCAAAAAUAUCCGAAUAGUCGUUUAAAUACGGUAUUCGACCUAAUUCGCACUAUUCUCGAUGUAAUUGGCUAAAACCUCCAAUUUAACUCCAAAUCGAUUUCUUUCACUUUCUACACUCCAAUUAUACUUAAAAUACCUCAAUGACUGUGAAUAUAAUUCAAUUUAUCAAUCCAAACCAUAAAUCACACAUGUCUAUACAUUAGGUAAAAAUUCAGAUUUUCAUGCCAAAAUUUCCCAUUAAAUUUCUAGCCUCACCAAUCAUUAAAUACCACCAAAAUAUCAUGAAAUAUCAUCAAUUUCAGCCUCAAUAUCCUCCCUAGAAAAUUCGGCCUCUUGUGGGUUUGUGAAGAACAAAGUGAUUUCUUGCUAGAUUUUCAUACUUUCCAUUACUAAACAACCAAAAACACUUAAUUAACUUGAAAUCUAGCAAAAUCAAUGCUCAAAACCUCUCCUCUCAAAUUUGGCCAGCAUGGGUUCAUCAUGAAAACUUGAGUUCUAAGCAUGAAAAAUGAAAAAGAAAGCAUGGGUAGUGUAAAUCACAAGAUAAAAUCACAAAAUUUUACCUUUAUUAGCUUAAUUUCUUGAAAUCCCACACUUUUUCUUCAAUUUUCCCACCUAGGUUUUGUUCUUUCUUUGUUCUUCUUCACUUCAUGCUUUGGCCAG
rnacentral:lncRNA from 1 species